UGCAGGAGCAGGUCUGGCAGAAGCCCAGUCGUCUUCUUAUUGGCUGGUGGACACGUGGGAAACCACUCUGACUGAUGCAGGAAAGAAGGCCGGGCCGGUACUAGAAGUAGCUGUGCUGGCUGGAGUUGGCAAUUCUAAAAGUGAUUGUAAUUGUAAUUGGGAGGAACCAUGAGGACAUCCGAGGGGGCUUUCAUCACGCUCUUGUGGCUGCCACUGCACUGGCUCAGCCGAGGAGAGAAUGUGGAGCAGAGUCCAUCCACCCUGAGUGUCCAGGAGGGAAACAGCUCUGUUAUCACCUGUAGUUACUCAGACAGUGCCUCAGUCUACUUCCCUUGGUAUAAGCAAGAACUUGGAAAAGGUCCCCAGCUCAUUAUAGACAUUCGUUCAAGUGUGGCCAAAAAAGAAGACCAAAGACUCACUGUUUUACUGAAUAAGACGGCCAAGCAUCUGUCCCUGCACAUCGCAGCCACCCAGCCUGCAGACUCAGCUGUCUACUUCUGUGCAGCAAGUGCACACUGCGUCCCAGACACCUGCUGCCUGCACCCAAACCUGUGACUGGGCAACCCCUGUCCUUUGACACAGAACUUCAAGUAGAUCGUUUGUGCUAUUGUUUGUCUGCAGGCGGAAGCUAAUGUGUUAGACAUUAAAGCAUAACUUAAGACAACUGGGAUCGAGAUGACCCAGACAGGGUUGGAACAUUUUGUUGAAUCAUUGCUGCUUAUUGGAUUUUUGAAGGGUGUUAGUAAGGUUUUAUUUUGCAAUUCAGGUUUAAAGCUGAUUUACAUUUGCUGUUCAGACUCCUGACAUACAAACAACUUCUUGGUAAAUUGUCACAUUCCUGUCAUGCAUUAGCUUUCAACUCUUAUCUUUCCAGUACUGCAGAUGUUGCUUUUGUUCUGUUAUAAACCAUUGUGUGCUAAAUAUAGAAAAUAUGUAAAAAGCAAAGUGUGAAAUUGAUUAAUUGUGUACCCAGCUAAUUUAUUAUCAAUGUUUCAUUUACUCUCUUCUUAAAUCCUAAUGUAAUUUGGAUUCUGAUUUUU